GACAGAGGGUGCAAACGUUGCUCGGAAUUACUGGGCGUAAAGCGCGUGUAGGUGGAUUGGUGUGUCAGAUGUGAAAUCCCUGGGCUCAACCCAGGAACUGCACCUGAAACUACCAGUCUUGAGUGGUGGAGAGGGAAGUGGAAUUCCUGGUGUAGAGGUGAAAUUCGUAGAUAUCAGGAGGAACACCAGUGGCGAAGGCGGCUUCCUGGACACCAACUGACGCUGAGACGCGAAAGCGUGGGGAGCAAACAGG
rnacentral:rRNA from 1 species